UUUUCCAAAAAAUAUUUUCCUUCAUACCAAACACACUUUCUAUCAAUGUCAAAAUAUCAAUGCUAAAUUGCCGACACGGUGCACCUAUUUUUCUAAGUGGAAUAUUAUAUCUUUGAUUUUUGGGAGAUAUCAUUUAAGAUCUUCAUCCCUCGUAUGACGAUAUUAUUGUAGAAGAAUAACGAGCUUGGAUGUUCAGUCUUUGAAGACAUGACUCUGGGACUGAUUCUCUUUAAAUAAAGAAGCCAACGAAGGGAAGGAUCUCAUCAAGAUAUUUAACAGAGCUUCUUGCCAGGUGAAAAGAGCAUAUUGCUAAUCUUGAUUCUAUGAUAGGGUCCAAAUCAACGUGUAAAGCUUAUGCAGAAAAAAUCAAGGAAGGAAUAAGAAAGUCUAGAUUAUUAGAACUAUAACUAUAGAUGUGAGACACUGGACGUGUUGUAAAUAAAUUCUGAAAUUAGAGAGCCAAAUAUGAGUGAAAGAAGCACAAUUUUUGAAGGAGGACAAAUAAGUUGCCUUGGACAGAAUUCUUUUAAGCAACUCUAAUUUCAUGUCUUCCCUUAAACAGUCUUUGUGGAAAAAUUGUCUAUAAUCCUUGGAGAAUGUAUUUUGAAGUGUUA